rnacentral:rRNA from 1 species
UACGAAGGGGGCUAGCGUUGUCCGGAAUCAUUGGGCGUAAAGCGCGUGUAGGCGGUCCGGUAAGUCCGCUGUGAAAGUCGGGGGCUCAACCCUCGGAUGCCGGUGGAUACUGUCGGGCUUGAGUACGGAAGAGGCGAGUGGAAUUCCUGGUGUAGCGGUGAAAUGCGCAGAUAUCAGGAGGAACACCAAUGGCGAAGGCAGCUCGCUGGGACGUGACUGACGCUGAGACGCGAAAGCGUGGGGAGCAAACAGG